rnacentral:rRNA from 1 species
GGAGUACGUUCGCAAGAUUAAACUCAAAAGGAAUGACGGGGGCCCGCACAAGCGGUGGAGCAUGUGGUUAAUUNGACGCAACGCGCAGAACCUUACCAACCCUUGACAUGUCUCGUAUGGUUUCCAGAGAUGGAUUCCUUCAGUUCGGCUGGCGAGAACACAGGUGUUGCAUGGCUGUCGUCAGCUCGUGUCGUGAGAUGUUGGGUUAAGUCCCGCAACGAGCGCAACCCUCGCCUUUAGUUGCCAUCAUUUAGUUGGGCACUAUAGAGGGACUGCCGGUGAUAAGCCGGAGGAAGGUGGGGAUGACGUCAAGUCCUCAUGGCCCUUACGGGUUGGGCUACACACGUGCUACAAUGGCGGCGACAAUGGGCAGCGAAGGGGCGACCCGGUGCAAAUCCCAAAAAGCCGUCUCAGUUCGGAUUGUACUCUGCAACUCGAGUGCAUGAAGGUGGAAUCGCUAGUAAUCGCGUAACAGCAUGACGCGGUGAAUACGUUCCCGGGCCUUGUACACACCGCCCGUCACACCAUGGGAGUUGUUUUACCCGAAGCUGGUGCGCUAACCGCAAGGAGGCAGCCAACCACGGUAAGGUCAGCGACUGGGGUGAAGUCGUAACAAGGUAGCCCUAGGGGAACCUGGGGCUGGAUCACCUCCUUAAGCUUGGAUACCCGGG